rnacentral:rRNA from 1 species
CGGACGGGUGAGUAACGCGUGAGAAUCUGGCUCCCGGUCGGGGACAACCCAGGGAAACUUCUGCUAAUCCCGGAUGAGCCGAUAGGUAAAAGAUUUAUCGCCGGGAGAUGAGCUCGCGUCUGAUUAGCUAGUUGGUGAGGUAAAGGCUCACCAAGGCGACGAUCAGUAGCUGGUCUGAGAGGAUGAUCAGCCACACUGGGACUGAGACACGGCCCAUACUCCUACGGGAGGCAGCAGUGGGGAAUUUUCCGCAAUGGGCGCAAGCCUGACGGAGCAAGACCGCGUGGGGGAGGAAGGCUCUUGGGUUGUAAACCCCUUUUCUCAAGGAAGAACACAAUGACGGUACUUGAGGAAUAAGCCUCGGCUAACUCCGUGCCAGCAGCCGCGGUAAUACGGAGGAGGCAAGCGUUAUCCGGAAUGAUUGGGCGUAAAGCGUCCGUAGGUGGCUGUUCAAGUCUGCUGUCAAAGACAGUGGCUUAACUACUGAAAGGCAGUGGAAACUAAACAGCUAGAGUACGGUAGGGGCAGAGGGAAUUCCCGGUGUAGCGGUGAAAUGCGUAGAUAUCGGGAAGAACACCGGUGGCGAAAGCGCUCUGCUGGGCCGUAACUGACACUGAGGGACGAAAGCUAGGGGAGCGAAUGGGAUUAGAUACCCAAGUAGUCCUAGCCGUAAACGAUGGAAACUAGGUGUAGCCUGUAUCGACCCGGGCCGUGCCGAAGCUAACGCGUUAAGUUUCCCGCCUGGGGAGUACGCACGCAAGUGUGAAACUCAAAGGAAUUGACGGGGGCCCGCACAAGCGGUGGAGUAUGUGGUUUAAUUCGAUGCAACGCGAAGAACCUUACCAGGGCUUGACAUGUCCGGAAUCUUGAUGAGAGCCGAGAG